CAUGGCCACACGUUCCAUGGUGGCGAAGGGACGGCGAGCGAAAAGUCCACACCGUAGCAGAGGCGAAGUUGGAGCGGCAGAAUACGUCCGUCCUUGUGUUUGGACGAGGUGUGUUAUACCGUUUCGCGGACUGCAGCCAUGGGUCAACGCGGGCAGGUUCUACGCGAGGAAACCACUCGCAGCGCUCAAAACGCGUUCACCGUUUCCCCGGAAAGUUCGCCGGAACGUUCGGUCGGAAUAGCCGAAUGACAUCAAACGUUUACCAAUCUCAGUUGUACGUUUUUUAUACGUUUUAUUUGAUGAUUAUCGCGACUACGGCCGCGGGCGGUUCCGAGGGGAAGCGCAAUAUCGCCAUAUUAAAAAUAAAUUAAUUGUAAAUCAUAAUUGCUCGGCAACGCGGUUUUUUUUUUUUUUUCAUACGCCUACGUGUUCCCAUACGCGGAACGCUCGAAACUACGGUUAUUAAUUUUUUCCUUUUUAUCGCCCCACUCCGAGCCAACAAAGAACAACGACGGUGGGCAUCCGGGGGGGGGGACGAGGGGGGGAAAUAACAAUAAAACGAAAACCCGGCCCCGUCCCCGUCCCUUCGCGCGGGAUUCUCCGGACCGGGCGCGUUCCCGGCGCCGACGCGCGUCGGUCCGCCACCAGCCACCGGUUGCGCUAGCUGGCGCGCGGACGGCACGUCGGUCGCACCGCCGACGAACCGAUCGGACGAGAGUGCCGCCCGUUCGGCGUUCAUUUGCUGAGCGCGCGCGCCGACGCGCCGACGUACCGUUCUCGGUCGCUGCCCGCUUACCAGUCAGUCCGCAAGCCGAGCCCGUGCCGCGCAGACGUGCCCAACCCUCGGAGGACACUUUCCGACCAAACGAUCGGCCGUUCUACCCGCGCACCGCACGCGUGCAGAACGAAAUAGUUUCGCAUACCAGUGCUUAUCAUUCUUCGCCUUGUGUGCAUAUUAAAACAACUGGACGGAGAACUGAUAAGGGCUGGCAUGUUGAUAUUGCGACGUGUAGCAGUUUCGGGGCGACGGAAAAGUCGACGACGACCAAACCAACGGGACAGUGUGCAGUGCAACGGUCAACUCUACCGAUGAAACGAUAAACACAUACUAAUAUAAUAUUAUUAUUAUCGAAACUUUAAAUAUUAUUUAUAAUUAUUAGUAUUAUUAUUCGGUUGCGGUCAUAUAAUGUAAGACACCGCGAAAAUGUAUUUUUUUUUUAUAUUCUUUUUGGUAGAUGACCAUGACUUUUGUAACCAACAAUUACUCAUUCCCAACCCCCAACCCCCAACCCCCGUCACCUAUAAAUGAAUAAAAACUGUAUGGUUCAGUCCUCGAAUUUGUAAUUAUAGAAUUUGGUGGAUAGAAUCGAUUUUUAUCACUAGUAUCUCACGGAAUAAUUAUUUGCGUUUACCGUAGUUUCUAAUGCAAAAUGUUAAAAGACAAAAGUUAAUAAUUUUUUACUAGUUUUCAUUUCAGUAAAUACUUAAAUAUGUCCAUUACAUGGGUAAUUAUUUAUUUUAUGGUGUAAGCGUGCAUACUGUCGCAUAAUUUCGUAGCAGGUAUACUGAUAAACAAAACCUAUUUUUUUUUAGUAAAUUUUUCUCCCACUCAAAACUAGUAAUACUUCGAAGAUGGACUAAAUAAUUUAUUUAUGAAACAGAUUUGGCCCAAACAGUGUCACUUUCGAGAAAUUAAUAGUAAAUGUUCCGCACGUAAAUAGAAAAAUAUUACAAACAUUUUUUAAUUCUUAUUCUUACUAUA
rnacentral:lncRNA from 1 species